CCUACGGGAGGCUGCAGUGAGGAAUAUUGGUCAAUGGCCGAGAGGCUGAACCAGCCAAGUCGCGUGAGGGAAGACGGCCCUACGGGUUGUAAACCUCUUUUGUCGGGGAGCAAAGAGAGUCACGUGUGACUCAUUGAGAGUACCCGAAGAAAAAGCAUCGGCUAACUCCGUGCCAGCAGCCGCGGUAAUACGGAGGAUGCGAGCGUUAUCCGGAUUUAUUGGGUUUAAAGGGUGCGUAGGCGGGACGGUAAGUCAGCGGUAAAAAUGCGGAGCUCAACUCCGUCGAGCCGUUGAAACUGCCGUUCUUGAGUGAGCGAGAAGUAUGCGGAAUGCGUGGUGUAGCGGUGAAAUGCAUAGAUAUCACGCAGAACUCCGAUUGCGAAGGCAGCAUACCGGCGCUCAACUGACGCUGAAGCACGAAGGCGUGGGUAUCGAACAGGAUUAGAUACCCUAGUAGUC
rnacentral:rRNA from 1 species